AUUGAACGCUGGCGGCGUGCCUAACACAUGCAAGCCGAGCGGUAACAGGUGUAGCAAUACAUGCUGACGAGCGGCGAACGGGUGAGUAAUGCUUCGGAAUCUACCCAAUGGUGGGGAAUAACCAGCCGAAAGGUAGGCUAAUACCGCAUACGUCCCACGGGAGAAAGCAGGGGAUCGCAAGACCUUGCGCCAAUGGAUGAGCCGAAGUCGGAUUAGCUAGUUGGAGGGUAACGGCCUACCAAGGCGACGAUCCGUAGCUGGUCUGAGAGGACGACCAGCCACACUGGGACUGAGACACGGCCCAGACUCCUACGGGAGCAGCAGUGGGGAAUAUUGGACAAUGGGGGAAACCCUGAUCCAGCGACGCCGCGUGUGUGAAGAAGGCCUGCGGGUUGUAAA
rnacentral:rRNA from 1 species